AUCCGGGUUAAGACCCGAAGGCAAUUGUGCUAGUGACUACAUCCGGGCUAAGACCCGAAGGCAUUCGUGCAAGUUGUUAAAUCCGGGCUAAUACCCGAAGGCAUUUGUGCAAGUCGUUCUAUCCGGGCUAAGACCCGAAGGCAUUCGUGCAUGUGGUUAUAUCCGGUUGUAUUCCGAAGAAGCUUGGGCUGGAGGUGAGCGUUGGUUGCUGUAAUAAAUUUAAUUAGUACGCUCGAAAAGCCCAAAGAAUAAGAUUUUGCUCGUUAGCGAUCGGAUUCGGGAUCAUUAAAGUCGAAGUCAUCUACACUAUCAAAGCCUCCAUUUUGGUAUAAUUUUGGUUGAACUUUGAAAUGGCAUGUAUAGGACUACCCUAUUGUUGAAGGUCAUGUACCUUUCGGUUUUGUGUAAGCUUGGAUAGCCAUGCGAAAAUGGCUUAUAUAA